GGGUCGGUGGCCGAGUCUGGCUGAAGGCGACAGUCUGUAAAACUGUUCUUUUUUGCACGCAGGUACCCUACGGGAAGCAAGCUACAAAUCCUGCUCGACCCA
rnacentral:tRNA from 1 species